AGGAUGAACGCUGGCGGCGUGCCUAACACAUGCAAGUCGAACGUCCUGUCUCGCAAGAGGCAGGGAGUGGCGGACGGGUGAGUACCACGUGGGUCAUCUACCGUGAGGUGAGGAAUACCGGCGAGAAAUCGCCGACAAGACCGCAUAGGCUCGAUGCAAGUCGAGCAAAGCUCUUUCGAGAGAGGGAGCGCCACACGAGGAGCCUGCGCCCGAUUAGCUAGCUGGUGGAGUAACGGUUCACCAGGGCGACGAUCGGUAGCUGGUCUGAGAGGACGAUCAGCCACACUGGGAUUGAGAACGGCCCAGACUCCUACGGGGGGCAGCAGUGAGGAAUUUUCGUCAAUGGGGGCAACCCUGAACGAGCAACGCCGCGUGCAGGAGAAGGUUUUCGGAUCGUAAACUGCUUUUCUCGGGGAAGAGAACGGACGGUACCCGAGGAAUCAGCCCCGGCUAACUACGCGCCAGCAGCCGCGGU
rnacentral:rRNA from 1 species